GGGACUAAUGAUUCUGAGAACUGCCAUGGCCUGCCUCUAAACAGCUUCCUUACAUUGACCAGUUUCGAGAGUGCCUUUUCCAGGAACCAUUACAACGUGGGAGAUCCAGAUGCUUCUUAGAGUAUGACAGCUCCCAAUUCCUGUAUGUGGAAGGCUCAGAUCAAGGCUAUCUCUUCAGCAGAACCACUCAAGCCCUACCAAGAAUUCACUGAGUAUUCCCAAGGACCAUGUAUUUCCUCCUUUUUUUUUUUAUACCAAGACAGAAGGCCAGCUUCCUUCUUCCCAUCUCUUAUAUCUUCAUCCUCUUUGUUCUCCCUCCCAAAUGGAUGUUUACUCUGAAUAGAAGGCUAAUUGGUAAA